CCUGCCCUUGAGACUGGGAUAACAGCGGGAAAUCGUUGCUAAUACCGGAUAUGCUCAUGGCAUCGCAUGAUGCAAUGAGGAAAGGGAUUACUGCUCAAGGAUGGGUUCGCGUCCCAUUAGCUAGUUGGUAAGGUAAAGGCUUACCAAGGCGACGAUGGGUAGCCGGCCUGAGAGGGUGUACGGCCACACUGGAACUGAGACACGGUCCAGACUCCUACGGGAGGCAGCAGUGGGGAAUUUUGCGCAAUGGGGGAAACCCUGACGCAGCGACGCCGCGUGAGCGAAGAAGGUUUUCGGAUCGUAAAGCUCUGUCACAGGGGACGAUAGUGACGGUACCCUGGGAGGAAGCCCCGGCUAACUACGUGCCAGCAGCCGCGGUAACACGUAGGGGGCAAGCGUUGUCCGGAAUUACUGGGCGUAAAGAGCGCGUAGGUGGUUAAGUAAGUCAGGUGUGAAAGGCCAGGGCUCAACCCUGGGAUUGCACUUGAAACUGUUUAACUUGAGGGCAGGAGAGGUAAGUGGAAUUCCUGGUGUAGCGGUGAAAUGCGUAAAUAUCAGGAGGAACACCAGUGGCGAAGGCGACUUACUGGCCUGGCUCUGACACUGAGGCGCGAAAGCGGGGGGAGCAAACAGGAUUAGAUACCCUGGUAGUCCACGCCGUAAACGAUGUCAACUA
rnacentral:rRNA from 1 species